GUCCAACACCAUAUGGAAGCUGCCAAGGCUUGAAGCAAUGGCCUAAGCUGGAUCUCGACCCCUUUUAGCCACAGCUGAAACUGGAAUGGCUGGGAUGCAGGACACCAAGUCCCAAGGCUGCACAGAGCAACAGGUCCCUGGGCCAGGCCCAGAUACCUGAAGUGGUUUUGAAGACUGGGCAGCUAAGACCUAAGUGAAGAAGAAUUCCUCCCCUGCAAGGAUGACCAAGAACCCAGCCGCUCUGUUUCCUUCCCGACUGGAGUCCUCUUCUCCACUGGGACCAGCUGUAUCCACCUGACCUCCAAGAGCACUCUCCAUGCCACGCACAGGGCACUGAGUGAACACCCACCUCAUUUCUCCCAGCAUGGAAAGUCAUUCCAGGAAUUCUGUGGGCAGUGGAGAGGCCCUUCCCCUUCCAGCAUGGGAAAGCCAGGCUGGUUGGGAAGCAGCUCAACUCAAGCUGCUGCUGAUACAGGUGCCCUCUCCUAGCCCCUCCCUUGUCCCCACCUGCAUUUCACCUCAAUUUCUAUCUGCAUAUGUGUCAAGUUCUCCCAAAUCCAGCAGCCACCAUGCCUGGCCUCACCA
rnacentral:lncRNA from 10 species